UCUAUCCUCUGUGUCCCCUCCACCAAAACCGACGACGACGUCGCUCUCCUCCACCGGUGCUCGGCGCUCUCCCUCCACCAGCGGUGGUCCACAGACGCUCGGCGAGCUCCACCGGCGGGCGCUGGCGGCUGGUCAGAUCCGCUCGGCAGUCAUCCAUCUGGCACAUCGGGUAGCUCGCGCCUCCGUUGGCAGUCCCACCGCCGCCCGGCCCUCCCCCAGCGCCCCCGGUGAUCCGGACCGCACCCGCUUACUCGGCCUAACGACCGGCUCCUGCCCCGACGCAGCCGAAGCUCCCAGCGUCCUCCUGCAGGCCGAGCUGAAGGUUCAGCGCGCCGGUGGAGUUAGACGACGAAACUCCGUCACGUCAUACCUCUCCGCCUCCCGUCUUCCAGACGUCUCUAAUCGGGGUCCCAGCGUCUCGGAGAAGAGGAGCAGCACGGCACGGCAGCUGUGGCGAGGAAGGCUCCUGUCCCAUCCCAACCCAGUUAGCAGCCGCCCAAGGAGGAGGAGAUCCAAUCGGCGUGCGGGCGUCCGCGGUCCAUCCAUCGAUCCAAUUCCAAUCUGCAGGCAUCUCGAGUGCACCGUCGGCCGCACCAGCAGGCAGCAUCCCGACACCGCCGUUCCCCAGCAGACAGCAGCAGGUCGCCGUCGUUCCCCAGCAGGCAGCAACAGGUCGCCAGCGCUAGUCCUCGACGGACGACGACCAGCAUCAGCCGCCGCCCCAGUCGACCAGCAUCCACGGCGGCACGAGCCCACGACCAGCAGAUCAACGCGGUGGCAGAUCAACGAGCCCACGACUAGUCAGAAAAUUUUUACAGCAGCAUAUCCACCGGAUACCCGAUACCCGACGGGUACCCGGUGGGCACGGGUAUGGGUCCAUUUUUUUACCCGAUUGGCUUGGUGCGUAUGGAUAUUUGUAAA
rnacentral:misc_RNA from 1 species